GAUGAACGCUGGCGGCGUGCCUAAUACAUGCAAGUCGAGCGAACAGACGAGGAGCUUUCUCCUUUAACGUUAGCGGCGGGCGCGUGAGUAACACGUGGAUAACCUACCUCUAAGACUUCGAUCACUUCGGGAAACUGGAGUUAAUACCGGAUAAUAUAUUCAACCGGUUGGUUCAUUAGUUAAUGACGGUUUUGCUGUCACUUAUAGAUGGAUCCGCGCCGCAUUAGCUAGUUGGUAAGGUAACGGCUUACCAAGGCAACGAUGCGUAGCCGACCUGAGAGAGUGAUCGGCCACACUGGAACGGAGACACGGUCCAGACUCCUACGGGAGGCAGCAGUAGGGAAUCUUCCGCAAUGGGCGAAAGCCUGACAGAGCAACGCCGCGUGAGUGAUGAAGGUCUUCGGAUCGUAAAACUCUGUUAUUAGGGAAGAACAAAUGUGUAAGUAACUAUGCACGUCUUGACGGUACCUAAUCAGAAAGCCACGGCUAACUACGUG
rnacentral:rRNA from 1 species